AUAUUGCUCAUGCUCAUACUUCAUCUGAAAUGUGAUUUUGAAUAUCCCUCUAGCUGACUGCAGACACUAAUGAAAAUUGCCUCUUUCUUUCUCUCUUUUUUCCCACCCUGUUUUCCAACCUUAAGAUCAGAGCCCUUCAUUCACAGCAUGGAGUAGUGGGUUUAAUUUCCAGCUGAAGUUUCAAGUUUAGAUGUUUAGUGGAUAUCUCGAUGGCUGCCAAAGCUGGCAAUGCCUUUUUGAAGAACUAAAAGGCUUGCCUGUUUAUUUUACUAGUUGAACAUCUUCUUGCAGUUGUCUUAAGAUGAUUAAUCAUUUGUCUUUCAUCUGCUUUUACCUAUUACCUUUGAACUUUUCCUUUUUAAACUGGUAUUCAGUUUAGUUGUUUCAAAUGCCUCCUUGCUGUAAAUGGAAGUUCUUUCUGCUGUACCACAGGAGUGAGAUCUAAUAUGUAAGAAUUAUCCCUGCACAGUCAAUAGAAUUCCAGAAUGGGUAAACAAGAAGAAAGAGUGCAACAAUUCCUUGAAAUUUGCUGAAUUCUCAAAUGGAUAAACACAUUUAAAGGAGACAAAAGAAGACAGGAGCCUUGACCAGGAUGCAGGCAGAUGAAACCGCAGUUUUCCAAACAGAAGUUACACCUUCAUCCUGGAGUGAAGAGUACACAAAGCAGAGCUUCCGGCAACCUACAGCCAAUCUUGAACCAGGAGCAAGAUAAAGAUUUCUGUUGUUAAUAGGAUAAGCACACUGCUGAUAUAAUUACAUCCAAAAGGAAAGAAACAAAACCAGCAGUUAUAAUCCAUUCAUUUUACUAACAACAACCUGCUAUGUGCCAGGCACUGUACCCGUAGCCUUGUUACAAGCCAAAUAGUACUCUGCAUGCCAUACUAGAUGUUCCACACAUGCUCCUGGACUGAUCCAUCAUGAGACCUGGCAAGCAUGGGUUACACCCUUGAGAUUUUGAAAUGCAGUGUUUGCAUUGCAAGUGACAUCUGGCUGACAGGAACUUGGAGAAAUGGGAUACGAAGUGAAUGCUGCAGUUACCACAAGCAUCAUAUUUAUCAAAAGGUUUAAGGUUGGCCUGUCUUUGUUUAACAUACGAAACUUGGAACAGUGAUGAGGAAGCAGCAUGUUUUGGUGUGGCGUGCAUUUUUUAACUGAGCUUUUUAGUAAAAGGGUAGUCAAAGAAUAAACACUAAUUGUAUUAUUUGUUCUGCUCAUGAAACUAAAUAUUAUACAUCCUAAUUUUAAGAAGACAGAUUUAAAUUAGGUUUAAUAUAAUUUCCAUACAUUUUGCCUUUAUUCAGAGAAUUUGCAGAUUUCAUAUAAGAAGAACAUGCAUGUUGAGCACUAUUCAUCAUUACUCAGAAAAGGCGAUGUGGGAGGAAAAAAAGCUCAACCUCAUUUUUAGUUUUAUUUUCUAAUUUGUAAAUGUGCAAAAUUGAAGUAAGACAUGUGAUAUGUAGUACAAUAUUUGCAAGCUCUGAAUUUGCUGUAAUACACACAUACAAAUAUAAGCAUUUUCCUAUUUUCCCUUUUCUUGGAAAUAAUGGGGCAAAUUAUUAAUUAAGUAAUGAGGAAUAUCAUUCAUUUAACAAAGAUUUAUGAGCCUACUAUGGCCUGUGGGCUACCCAGGUGCUGGAGAUAUACAGAGGAAUAUGACAACCCCUGCUCUUAAUAAACUCACAGUCAGGUGGAAGGGGAGGUCACUAUGAAAUAACUAAGUACAGUAUAAGGCUAUAAAUACCAUGAAAACAAUAUGGAAGUAUUGAUAAAGGGGAGUAGAUGGUAAGAGUGGUCCAUCUGCCACAGACAGGUAGGGAACAGAAAGCGCAACAUAAAAGCCAUUUUGAAAUCCUCUUAGUGUAUCCAAGUAAGACUCACUCAUUGUUUGAAAUAGGAAAAUAGAAAGAUGGUAAAAACUCAUCCCAGCUCUUAUCACCUAAAGACAAAUACUAUGAACAUUUCCAUCUAGUGUUUUCCGAAUCACUGUUUUUUUUUAGUUUUGAAAGCAUUGUGAUAAUACUGCAAAUAUGAUUAAUGUAUGAAAAAAAACUAAGCUGCUUUCAAAGAAAACAUAAAAUGUCAUCAUUUAAUGCAUUUCUAUGUUAGUUUAAACUGGAUAUUGUCUAUAUAACAAUGUCCAUAUAACAAUCCAAUUGAUUGUCAAUACCGUAAAUUAGCCAUUACUCUAUUAGGAUGUUUACCUUGUUUUCCAUCUCCCUCAACCAACAAUAAAUUAGUGACGUCUAAGAAAAAAGGCAUUCAGGAGAAGAGAGAGAGAUCUCCAAUGGUGGGAUUCCUGGCACCAAAGUAAGAUGUGAAAGGGGUAAGUCACAUCUUACCCUUUUCAACAUUUAUUUCAACAUUUAUUCAGCAUCUGCUACUGUGCUAUGUACUUUGGAUGUGUUAAUUUGUUUAUUGCCACAGGAAUCCUGAUUCAAGUGUAGUAUAGUGAAAAUAUACUCCAGAUUCACCUAGGGCGGAGUUCCAAUCUAAUUCUCAGCUUUGUCCAGAUGUGUGAUUUCCAAAUUUAGCUCAUCUCUCUGACUCUCAGAUUCCUCAUUUAUGAGUUGGGCAAUAUUAUCACUCAUUUGUUUAAUUAUAUUAAGCCCACAUUAGGUAUAUAUGUAUAUUAUGUGUAGGGUAUCUUGACAGGCAGGAAAUGUAAGAUAAGUAUAAUAUGUCUCAUGUCUUUAAGAAGCUUACAGCCUCAUGGCAGAGUCAUUCAUGGGAGGGGGCCUGACAGGUCCCAGGAGACAUAUUCUUCCUGGUGGAGUAGAAUUUGGUCUGGAUCUUAAGUAAUGAGGAGCAGGUUUUAUCUCACAGUUCUUCAACCAAAAUGUUCAUCUUCUGAUAAUCAAUCAAUCAAUCAAUCAAUCAUGUGCCCAGUGUUGUGCAUAUUUGUUCUGUUCCCUGUUCUGUAUAAGCUUACCAAGUAGUUUCAGUCCUAAUGCCUAGAAGAAUGUGGCUUCUGAUUCAUAGAUUAAUACACUAACCUAUUUAAGAAGUGAUUGUGUUGGUUCAGAGGUGAUUGGUUUCUACCAGAGCCUGUCUUUCUAAAAGAUGUGCUCUUGUGAACCUUGUGAACGGAGGGUUCUGUCACUCUAUUAGUAACCAUCUUUGGACACUGUAUUUUAAAAACCUCAUUAAUCUGAAUACAACUGUUACUGUUGUAUACCUAGAAUAACUAGGUUUCACAAAUGGACAAUGGUAUUAAGCAAAAUACAGACAUACUCUAAUCAGAUUUGGGACUGCAAAUGUUAAGUCCGUCCCUGCUAAAAAUUCCUGAAUCUAAAAUUAAAGCUAGAAUGCUCAGACCUAAUGGCAAGUUUUCAAAUGCUCAUAAUUUAGCAAUUUAAAAUGUUUCAGAAAUCAUGAAAAAUGUCAUUUGAACCAAAAAGAUAAUUUAGCAAUUUUUUGUCUCUCUUCUCCUACCAAAAUUUUAUGCAAAAGUGUAUCUGAAAGUUCAACAAAUGUGGGAAAGCAAAUAUAUGUUCAAAUUUCAUUAAUUAACUAUAGUUUUAAAAUAAAACUAUCUACAACUCCUAUCUUCUGUAAUGAAUCAAUGGUGUAUCAGUUAGCUAUUGCCAUAAAGCUGCUGCAUAACAACCUGCUCCAAAAUUCAGUGGCUUAAAACAAACAGCUCAUCUAUUUUGCUUUUGAGGGUUGACUUAACUGGGAUUUGGCUGGCCUAGGCAGAUCAUGGCUAGUGUUGGCUCUAUCCCAUAUAUCUCUUAUCCUCUUCUUGGGACUUGUGGGUUAGUUAGUUAGACAUAUUCUUAUUUUAGUGAUGGAAGAGUCACCAAAGUUUGAGUCCAAUCACCCAAUCAUUUUUCAAACCUCUGUUUGCAUCACAUUUGCUAACAUUGUUCUGACCAAAGUAUGUCAUUUAGCCAUACCCAGAGUCAGGCUGGAUGGGGCACUGCAGAAUUACAGGACAAACAGCAUAGAUGCAGCAAGUGGGGAAGAAGAGGGGCUCUUAGGGUAAUCUACCCUAAAUGGCUGUGGCAUUUUACUACAAAGAAGAAUGGAAUCUAAAUUCAGUGAGUUUUUAUUUUUUAAUUAUCAUGUAUUUAAAGCCUUCUGUAUCCCAGGCAUUGAAUUUUUACCUCAUUAUCUUUCUGCAAUCCUACAAAAUAUAUUUCAACAUCUCAAUUAUGCAGAUGAAGAAAUGGAGGCUCAGCAAUGUCGAGUAAUAUGUUGAAGCUUUCAUGACUGAUCAGUGGCUGAGUCUAGAGUUAAAUCCUAUCCAGGGACUCUGGGCUUUGGCUUCUGUUCUUUCUACUAUGUAAUGAUGACUCUAUUCAGAAUUUCAACUGUAAAAUUUAAGAACAAGAAGAAAUUUUUUAAAUCUCAUCUAGUCUCCUUAUUUUGUAGAUGAGACAACAGAGUCCCAGAGACACGAUUUUUCAUAUUUUUAUCUUACUAAUUAGUUAACAAAAAAAACUAGUGACUAGAACCUGGAUCUCCCAAUUCCUCAUUUACUCAUUAUUUUAUACAUAUUUUUGUCAUUGGUCAUACAUUUACUGAGUACUUACUAUGUGCCAAGCACUGUGGUGAUCAAGUCUUCUAUUGCUGAAAUCAUAUCCUGAUUGUAGAAAUGAAGAGAAAUAGAAGGUCAUGUGUGUGCCUACUAUGUGUCACGGUGGGUGUCUUUGUUUUCUAAAAUUUACCAAAAAUAAAGUUCUGAAUUUCUGCAUCAAUCUAUUUCUACCAAAAUAUAGGACAGUUUUUCUUUUUGACCCUUAUCACAUUCUACAUUUCAUAGAGGCCAAGUUGGUCUUGGAGGCGGCAGAAGUUGUGCAGGCAGCCAGAGCCUCACUGCUGCUCAAGGUGGGCAUCUAGCUCACGUUGGCAGCUGUGUAACAACCCUGAAAUCAUAUAGCUGCCAGGCCCCACCUGAAUUAGAGCUGACCUUAAGAUGGGUUUUGUAAACCAUUUAAAUAGAUCUCUCCUUUUGGAAAGUUUUCAGAGUAAAAAAGAAGAAAACAAUAAAAUGUCUCCAAUUUGCAGACCCUCCCUCUGAGAUCUGCUACAUGCAGCCUUCAUGCCCUCCCCAGCACUGAACCAUGAUCCCCAGUGGGUCCUAAAGCCAUAGGACUGAUGGAAAACAAGUAAAACAUGGCUUAGAACUGCCUGCAUGGAACGAGAACUGCCCUUUCCAUGUUGCUGGGCCCAUUGUAUUAGCCCUGGGAGACAGAGGAGGAUGUGGAAGAAAUUUGGAGACAAACCUGGCUGGGUAUGGAGGGUAUUGGGGCAAAUCGCUUAGUGUUUCCUUUUUGGAGAAAAAAAGAAAAAGCACCACCCAGGCCAGGGUCUGGUACAUAGCAGGCGCUCAAGAAAUAGUUGUUGAAUGAGUGACGAUUGAAUUACACUGUCUCCCCUACUUCUGUUGCUUAUCUAGUUACCCUUCUCUUGAUUUUGGAGAAAGCCUGUUCAGAGACUUGGUACUGCAUGGAGGAUAAUGCUUUCGGCUCUGUGUUUAAUCAUUCAAACAAUAUGUUUGAGUGUUUACUGUGUUCCAGGCAUUGAGGGUAUGAUGGUUUGCAAAACCAUAUGAAAUUGUUACUUUCAUGGCACUUGCAAUCCAAUGAGAUAAAUCAGACAUGGGUUUUGAAUCCUUACCCUGUCAUUCACUAGCUCUUUAACUAUGGAUGGCUUACUAAUAUCUUUGUGCCUCAGUUUCCUUAUGCAUAAAAAACUAUAAUAAUAGUACUUAAUUAAAUUUAUAUACAUAUAUACAAAACAGAAUAUUGUCUGCUAUUUAAUAAGCACUGUAUAAAUGUUUGUGAAUAUCUCAUAUAUUGCUGGGAGGAUUCGAUAUGAAAAUGCAUGUAAUGAGCUCAGCAUGAUGUGGGCACAUAUGAAGAACCUCUCAAUAGAUUAUUAUGAACCUAUUAUGGGUAGCCUUAAGCAUUCUAGCAAUUCUAAACUUGAGGUAGACGAGGUGGGAUGUGGUGGGGAGUGGAUCAGAGGGAGAGUAACAUUAGGUCCUGUGCAACUAAAAAUCUAUUUUCUUUUUUCUUUUUCUUUUCUUUUUUUUUUUUUUUGAGACAGA